UAGCCAUGUUGUGGGCAAGCGAGAAGUAGGUCCUUGAACCGUUCCCAACACUCGAAAAAAGUUUCAUCUUUUUUUUUUGGGAGAAGUUCAUUAUGUCUCUUAUGAGAGU